GACAAGGUAGACUGGUAGACAGCCUUCAAGGACCCAACACCAUCUGCUCUCUGUCCAUUAAGACUUUCACCAAGAUGAAAGCUGCCAGUAAAACAACAGCAGACCGGUCAUUUUGUGCUUUGAUGGUAGGCUUGUUCCUGACGUCUUCCAUUGCUAUAGACUAAAGAUUUGUGUCUAGGUUUCCCUUCAUUCUUCUCCAUUGUAUGUAUGCCAGCUUUUGAUCGGAUAGAGCAUCCAUUGUAUUCAAUAAUCAUGCUGACAUAUAUGUAUGAAAGACCGUAUACCUUAUGUCUCCCAUCUCCAC
rnacentral:lncRNA from 1 species